rnacentral:rRNA from 1 species
AAUAUGGGACAAGGGGGGCAACCCUGAUCCAGCCAGGCCGCGUGUGUGAAGAAGGACUUCGGAUUGUAAAGCACUUUAAGUUGGGAGGAAGGGCUUUAGGUUAAUACCCUGAAGUUUUGACGUUACUAACAGAAUAAGCACCGGCUAACUCUGUGCCAGCACACGCGGUAAUACAGAGAGUGCAAGCGUUAAUCGGAAUUCCUGGGCGUAAAACGCGCGUAGGUGGUUCAGUAAGAUGGGUGUGAAAUCCCCCGGCUUAAACUGGGAACUGCUUUCCUAACUGCUGAGCUAGAGUACGGUAUAGAGUAGUGGAAUUUCCUGUGUAGCGGUGAAAUACGUAGAUAUAGGAAGGAGAACCAGUGGCGAAGGCGACUACCUGGACUGAUACUGACACUGAGGUGCGAAAGCGUGGGGAGCAAAC